rnacentral:misc_RNA from 1 species
UCACCGCUUACGCGGGCAGUCUCAUUAGAGUCCCCAGCAUAACCUGAUGGCAACUAAUGAUAGGGGUUGCGCUCGUUGCGGGACUUAACCCAACACCUCACGGCACGAGCUGACGACGGCCAUGCAGCACCUAGUUUCGUGUCAUUGCUGACUGACCUGUUUCUAAAUCAUUCACUAACUUUCAAGCCCUGGUAAGGUUCCGCGCGUAUCAUCGAAUUAAACCACACGCUCCGCUGCUUGUGCGGGCCCCCGCCUAUUCCUU